rnacentral:rRNA from 1 species
UACGUAGGGGGCGAGCGUUGUCCGGAUUUAUUGGGCGUAAAGAGCUCGUAGGCGGUUCGGCAAGUCGGAUGUGAAAUCUCCACGCUCAACGUGGAGGGGCCAUCCGAUACUGCCGUGACUCGAGUCCGGUAGGGGAGUGCGGAAUUCCCGGUGUAGCGGUGAAAUGCGCAGAGAUCGGGAGGAACACCCGUAGCGAAGGCGGCACUCUGGGCCGAUACUGACGCUGAGGAGCGAAAGCGUGGGGAGCGAACAGG